rnacentral:rRNA from 1 species
CCUACGGGAGGCAGCAGUGAGGAAUAUUGGUCAAUGGACGCAAGUCUGAACCAGCCAUGCCGCGUGCAGGAUGACGGCUCUAUGAGUUGUAAACUUCUUUUGUACGGGGGUAAACGCAGAUACGCGUAUCUGUCUGAGAGUAUCGUACGAAAAAGCAUCGGCUAACUCCGUGCCAGCAGCCGCGGUAAUACGGAGGAUUCAAGCGUUAUCCGGAUUUAUUGGGUUUAAAGGGUGCGUAGGCGGUCUGAUAAGUUCGAGGUGAAAUCCCGGGGCUCAACUUCGGAAUUGCCUCUGAUACUGUUCGGCUAGAGAGUAGGUGAGGUAGGCGGAAUGUGUGGUGUAGCGGUGAAAUGCUUAGAGAUCAUACAGAACACCGAUUGCGAAGGCAGCUUACCAAGCUACUUCUGACGUUGAGGCACGAAAGCGUGGGGAGCAAACAGGAUUAGAUACCCUUGUAGUC